rnacentral:tmRNA from 1 species
AGCAUAUUAGAGACUGGACAUGCGAAUCAAAAUGUCAUUACGAAUUUAAGAAUUGUUGUAAUCCCAAUGCAGGGAAGUUUAUGUUGGACGGCGGUUCGAUUCCGCCCAGCUCCACCAAAAGCGUUACUAUGGUUUAAGGUUUGGCCUUACCGGCGUAGCGAAAAUGGCGUCACAAGUUAGAGCGCUUUUGAUGGGGCUGACCAGGUUUCGACAGCGUAGGUAACUCACAUUGGCAACACGGUAGGCGAUGACCGUAUAAAUCAAGCAAAAACUGUAAACGCAAAUGAUGCGAAUUACGCUGUUGCAGCCUAGGCUGUAACCGAGUAGAUCACCACAAGUAAUUGUGCUUGGGAACAGAAAGUGAUCAGCAGGUGGCUAGCAAUAACCACCUGCUA